UACAGAGGUCUCAAGCGUUGUUCGGAUUCAUUGGGCGAUGAAAGGGUGCGCAGGUGGCGAGGCAAGUCGGAUGUGAAAUCCCCGGGCUCAACCUGGGAACUGCAUUUGUGACUGCAUAGCUAGAGUACGGUAGAGGGGGAUGGAAUUCCGCGUGUAGCAGUGAAAUGCGCAGAUAUCAGGAGGAACACCGAUGGCGAAGGCAGGUCUCUGGGCAUUAACUGACGCUGAGGAGCGAAAGCAUGGGGAGCGAACAGG
rnacentral:rRNA from 1 species